rfam:Flavobacterium sp. LM5 Flavobacterium_sp_LM5_contig3, whole genome shotgun sequence.
UUUUAGCCCAGAUCGUAAUGGAAACCCCGGAGUACCAAAAACUAGUGGUUCUUGUGGUUGCAGAGCGACCAGCGGAAGCUCCUUCAAGCGCAUUAGAACCACAGUUUUUUGGAACGAGGAGUUGUAAUGGAGAGCUGGAAUGGCU